CGGUCAACAGAACACGAGGUGGGGUUGGAAAGCCCCGGGUUUCACCGGGCCUAACCGCCCACUUCUUUGCAAACGCGGCACGGUAAGAGCCGCUCUGCCUCGAGGUUCCCCGAUAUGGCCCUUCGUUUGGAUACUGGAACUCCCUUUCCAGCCAGAGCCCCGAGGCCGAGAAUCAGCCGCAGGAGGAUAUACCUCCCUAACGGCCAUUCGCAGACGGCUCCCUUCCUGCGCUGAUAUUUUUUUAAAGGCUUCUCCCAGGGACCCCAGGCUGUGUGGCCAGUCUUCCGGAAAUGCUGGCUCCUCUUACAAAGAUGCAUGAGGGGAUGCUGCCCUAGGUUGGAAGGCAACCAACUAAAUCUUAAAAUAGAUUGAAAUGACUCCACUUCAGCCUUCAGCUGCCUUUCACAGUGAGGAAGACAUUGCUGUAACACCCACCAGACUUUAGCAGGCCCCAGUGAUUGCAGCUUCAUUGAAAUUGAUGGUUUUCCUGAGGGGGCCAUGCAACCUAUUCCAAGACUCCAGAGUACAGAGGAACAGACUGCCCAUAGGAGGAGGACUCUGAGUGGCCUGGAUACAGUCAUCAAGGGGACUGUUCAGCUGCACCUUCAUCUUAAGCAACAUGUGUGCAUUGAUGGAGCUUACCUGGUGCCAAGAGAGUGGUGAAAGGCAUGGAAAUAAGGUUUCCAGUGGAAAGAAUCUCGUCGACCAGCUUGGGACACAUCCUACUCUAACUAAGGGGACAGGUUUUAAAAUUGAAACAUGGUUUCAGGAGGCUUACCCUAUGAAUAGUGUUGGGGGACCACUACCAGGAACAGGUGUCUGCUAUUGAGUGAUGCUGGGCUUCCCUGGUGGCGCAGUGGUAGAAGACCCACCUGCCAAUGCAGGAGACUCGAGUUCAAUCCCCUGGAGAAGGAAAUGGCACCCCACUGCUGUAUUCUUGCCUGGGAAAUCCCAUGGACAGAGCAGCCUGUCUCUGUCCAAGAGGGCUACAGUCCAAGGGUUGGCAAAGACUCGGACAUGACUUAGUGACUAAAUAACAACAACAUAGAGUGAUGCUAUGACCUUUCAUUGGAAGCAUGCUUCUGUAAGAGUUGAGCAUGAGCACACUAUUGUUGAAUGAACGGAUAACUAGGAAGCUUUAAGGCAACCUCGUUAGAGCCCGUACUCUUGUCCCUUUCCCAAACUCCUUCAGUCUCCCAGUUCUAUAAAAACCUGCAAAUGAAGGAAGCAGGAUACACAGUGGUUAUUAGCAUACGUCUGGGUUAAAUUGUCUUAUUUUGGAUCCUGUCCUGGAGGACUUGAGCAAGUGAUGGAACCUACCUGAGCUGCAGGUUUCUCACCUCUAGAAUGGGGAUCAUGAGGAUUAACUAAGAUAACAUGAGUAAAGUGCUCAGAACAAUGCACCUAAUUAUGUUGAAAAAGUGAAGGUGCAGUCGCUCAGUUGUGUCCAACUCUUUUCAAACCCAUGGACUGUAGCCAUGUGUCUCCUGCAUUGUAGGCAGUUUCUUUACUGCUAAACCAUUGGGGAAGCCCUGCAGAUUGGGUCAAAGGAAAGAGAAGCAGAAAGUGGAGUGGGUUCAGAUACCAAACUCAAAUACCAGGCUUCUCUGUCUAUGGGAUUCUGCAAGCAAGAAUACUGGAGUGGGUUGCCAUUCCCUUCUCCAGGAGAUCUUCCCAACCCAGGGAUUGAACCCAGGUCUCCCACAUUACAGGCAGAUUCUUUACCAUCUGAGCCACCAAGGAAGUCCAGUUAUGUUAAGAACAUAAGUUUUAAACAAAAAUUAACUGAUGGAGGGGGCUUCCUGGUGGCCCAGUGGCUAAGACUCUGUGUUCCUAAUACAAGGGGGCUCGGGGUCAAUCCCUGUUCUGGGAACUAGAUCCCACAUGCCACAACAAAGACCCGUUGCAGCCAAAUAAAUAAAUAAAAUAAUUUUUUAAAAGAAUUAGAAAAAGAAAGAAAAUUAACUGAUGGAGCUGAAGUUGACAGGAGCGGAUCCAAAUGUCUUUGAUAAACAGGGCAAAAGAAAGAUGAAUUGUCAGAUGGGCAAGUGGUCAGCUUGGUUCUCCAGAUAUCUCCAGGAACGUGGCCUUUGGAAUAAGAGGUUUGGGGAGAAAAAUAAGCCACGAAGAUCUUAUGGCGCCAACAGGGACUUUAGAGAUCACAGGUCAUAUGCGCCAGUCACACUCCCUUUUGUUCCUAGAGAUUUAAUAUCUACCAGCCUAUUAAAUGGUCAUGAUUUGGAGGAGAGAAGACAAGAAGAGGAAUUACUUUCAGCUGGCCCCGGUCUUUAAAUAACCCGGGGUACAGCAUCUUUCAAACACAAAGGAGACCAUGUGUAAAACAUUAGUUAAAUUCAGAUAUAAAUCUAGUCUUUGACCAGUCCAAAGCUAAUCAAUAUGCUUUUCUACUCUCUUUGAACUUUGCGUUUUCUGGCAACAACGAAAACCCCAAACCCCAUCCAAAACCAUCAUCCAGACAGCCCAACUCCUAUGCUCCCCUCUCUCGUGUCACAUAUUGUUGACAGAACUCCUCUCGUUACCACAUUCAUUCCAGUGGUGAUUCAAAUUCUUCUGCAGAAAUGGACUUGAAAGACAGAAAAUUGCUCUUGUAAUCACUUAAUAAGGAACCCUGGACAAGGAAUACAGGACUAUGAAUAUAGAUUUACUCUUAGCUUUUAUGGACGCAUUUCCCUCGGUUAUUUUCAUUGAAAAUCAUGAUGAACUAAUUUAAAUAGCAAGGUAAACUGAGAUGGAAAAUGAUCCAUAAUAAGAAUUUCGAUGGAAAAUAUAGAUUGGCCUGGUCUUCAGCACAUCAAGGAUUCUCUUGGUUUCAAUUGCAAAUUCGGAGAGAUUUGAAAUGUGUUUGUUUGAAUGUGUCAGUUUUAGGCAGAACUAAACUACGCUGUCCCUUUCCAAAAAUCAAGAAUCUGCCCUGGAAAAAAAUCAUGCAGUAUGAUGUGCAAAGCAGAGGGGGAGGAAAGAAAGUAGUGGGUGAGAAAGACCCACCCAAGGACUGCAGCCAGCUUCCCCAGGAAGAUUCAUGACCACGCUUCAAUCCUGUCCUGUGAUUCUUUCCAAGGGAUUUUACUAUAAAUCACUAAAAGCAACCGCUGCUGUUACCAGAGCUAUCUUUGCCUCAAAAAGAAGAAAAUUCAGGACAUGCAAUAUAAUCCUCUCGCUAUCUAAGAGAGAAACCAGCCCAUUUGUCAUAAGAACUGAAAACACCAGCUAUAUAGUAUAUUAAACAUUAGCGUUUCAUCUUUCAUAAAAGGGGGGGCACGCAUAGGAUGUGAUUGGAUGCAACCAUGAUAAAGGGACUUAAAUUGGAUUGACUAACUAUAACCUACAAAAACCAUUGUAGUACAAAUCCUUUUCAGUAAAAGGUAAGAAAAUUCUAUCAACACUUUUUUUUAACCACUCUGAGCUAUUCACAACAAAUAGAUCCUUACUCUUAGCAGAUGUAUAAGCAUUUAUGUAAUGCAGGGGUUUCAUAACUUGAAGAGUGUCAUCAAAGUCAGAGCUGAUACAGUGUUCCUCCCUUUGACUUGAAUGCCUUCUUCUUCCCUAUAUAGGGUGAUUAUUGCUUCACAGUGUCCCCGGUAUGAAAAGACUUUGAAAGGUCAUUUGCCUUGCAUCCCAACUAGCUGCAUUAGCAUUACCAAGGAGAGGCUGGUUAGAAAUGCACAGUCUUGGGGUCCACCCCAGUCUUACUGGCUCAGCUUCUGCAUUUCGACAGGAUCCCCAGGUGAUUCAUAGGCGUAGUGAAGGUGAAACUGUGCCACCCUAAGCCAUCCUGCUGCCUCUGAGCAAAGCGUGCACAUCGGAAUGGAUAGACUGGUCUGCUUCAGCCAAUUUCAGGUCCUUUAUAGUUUAUCCUGUGUGAGUCAUUGAGAGGAAAGAGGAAAUGCACUCAUUUAAGGAGGUCUUGCUUAGCCUAACAAAGCUAGCAACUUCUUCAAUACAUUCAGGUUCCUAUUCUUGGAAGAACUGCUGCUCUGUGUCCUGUUGCUUGGUCAUGUUGACUCUUUACGACCCUUUGGACUGUAGCCCACCAGGCUCCUCUGUCCAUGGGAUUUUUCAGGCAAGAAUACUGGAGCGGGUUGCCAUAUCAUUCUCCAAGGAUCUUCCUGACUCAGAGAUCGAACCCGAGUCUCCUGUGUUUUCUGCAUUGCAGGCGGUUUCUUUACCGCUGAACCAUUUGGGAAGCCCUGCAGGUUGGGUCAAAGGAAAGAGAAGCAGAAAGUGGAGUAGGUUCAAAUACCAAACUCUAAUAAAGUAAGGGUAGCACAGAAGCUGAGACUGUGAGGGAUGGGGAGAACAGUUUCACCAAAUUACCAGUUCCAAAAUUGUCUCUGCACUGUGGGUGAUUUAUAGCCCUGGAAGCUUAAAGGCUUGAGUCUCUUGCUGUAUUUUAUUUCAGAUUAGGAAUUUUUAUCUAGUACUUUCCUGCAGUUUAAAAUGAAGGCCCUGGAACUACAAAAAUGAAUUUAUCUGGUGGGCUGUGUUCAUUUUGUAGUUAUCCUGUAGGUUUCAGAUUUGUUACAGAACUGGAACUGGACAAUAGAAAAACUCUGUUGGUUAAUGGCAGCCAACUUCUAAACCAAAACUGAAGGACAUAGGAUAAUUAUGUAUAUGUUUCAGUGUCCUCAAAUUUAGCUGCACAUUAGAGUCCCCUAGAUAAAAGGUUUUUACACAGCUUUCUUGAGGUAUAACUGACAUAUAAUAAGCUGUAUAUAUUUUAGGUGUACAGUAGGAAGAAUUUUGAUAUGUUAUACAUCUGUGAAACUAUCACCAUGAUCAAGCUAAUCACCCCUAAAGUUUCCUUGUGCCCCUUGGCAACUCCUCCACCCAUUCUGCGACAACUAAUUGCUUUCUGCCACCAUAGUUCUAAAUAUCCCACCACCAAAGCCACACAUGAUAAAAAUCAAUUCAGAACCUCUGGGGGCGUGACCCCAGCCAUCUUUAUGUUUUUAACUCCCCAGAGUGAUUUGGGCUUCCCUGGUGGCUCAAAUGGUAAAGCGUCUGCCUGGAAUGCAGGAGACCUGGAUUUGAUCCCUGGGUCUGGAAGAUUCCCUCGAGAAGGAAAUGGCAACCCGCUCCAGUACUCUUGCCUGGAAAACUCCAUGGAUGAAGGAGCCUGGUAGGCUACAGUCCAUGGGGUUGCAAAGAGUCAGACACGACAGAGCGACUUCACUGGUAGAGUGAUUCUCGUGUGCAGCCAGGUUUGAGAAACGUCGCCUCAUGCAGUCCACAUUGUGAAUUCAACAGAUUCUCAAAUGCAUUAUCUUAUUUAAUCCUCAUGCCUGCCUUUGAGUUAGGCAUUAUUCAUUUCUAUUUUACCUAAAAUGAAAUUAAGUCCUAGACAUUUGUCUAAGAUCACACAGUUGACCAGAAAGCCUAGCUGGGGUUUGAACCCAAAUGACCUAAUUCAUAGUUUAUUCCUUUGAGGUACUUACAUUUUGUUCUGUGAGCUAUGUUUAUUGACUAGAAUUCUAUCUGUAUUUCUAUUCUAUCCCCCUAACACACUCUUUUGGGUUGUGGGCAGAAGUUGUGUCUAACCCAAAACUUAUAAUUUUCACUGGACCUACCACAGUGUCUGUCCCCUGGAGACGAUUCUAAGGUUUUUCUUUUUCCUGUUGAGAGAUCUAAGUAUCUGGGUUCAUGUCACCACAUAGUCAUCCAUCUGCCUUUUUCAUAGUCUAUCCACAAUCUAAGGUUUAAGUCAAGCUGUAAUUAACACUGGCACACAAACUCUUCUCCAGAAACCUUCUCGGGCUGCAGACUGUCAGCCUGCUUCACUCCACUAAUACACAACAUUGGCAGCCUGGGCCCAGAAUUAGCCCUGAGCUACCCAUACAAGUUUGGGGCAAGAUUAUGAGAGAAGAGCAGCCGGGGAUGAAUGGUUUGUUUGAGUGCUUCCAACAGGAGAAGUAAUGAUGAAAGAAGUCCUGCCCAUGCCAACCCCUCAUUUGUACUUGGCUGUCAGGGGUUUCUGGCUGGUCUUUUUCGAUUUGUCAUUAUUUUUUUCCAGAGGUUCUGGGUUUGCCUGCAUGUGUCUGCUGCUAUGUGGAUGCUAUGAUUAAUUAAGUUGGUCAACGAUUAAUAUUUAAAGAUCAGGAGUGAUUUGAAUCAUUCCUCCAGAGGAGUUGCUCAACUGCCUCCAGGGAAAGGGAUUAGCCCCCCCAAAAUGGAUCAUUAAUGUUUUUGAGAUAGUGUGCCUUUCAAAGAGACAGAUACCUCAUAAUUUGUUUCACCAUUCCUCUGCUACUGUCCAUUGUUCAUUGUUUCCAGUUUUCACAGUUAUCAGUGAUUCUCCCAUAAAUAUCUAUAUUCAUAUAAAGAUUUCCUUCCCCCUUCUUUUGAAUUAUUUUAUUUGUAGAAAUUUCCAGGAGUGCUAUUACUAUACAGAAGGGCUUGAAUGAUUUUAAGGGAUUAUGAGCUCUUAAAAAGGCAGUACCACAGAGUUCAUAGCCCAUGUCACAUCUUGAUUAGUUGAAUUAAUUAUGACAAGGAAGAGCCAAGUUAUUUCCUAAAGCAUCACUCACUGUCCAGUCUUAUCCCACAGAGUGGUGUGAGCAGUACUAGAUAAAGGCAUCUCCAUCACCUCAUUCUUUAUUCCACCAAAACUCACCUAAAAAAAAAAAAAAUCCUCACACAUUUUAAGCGAUGAGCUUUUGGAAUAAAUUUAAGGAAUUCCAGAACGAAACCAUGGGACAAAUCAGUGACGCACCUCCUGAGAUAAAUGCUGUCUUAGAAAUGAAAGGAGAGCAUGCAGUGUGCGUGGCAGGGGGGACAGUAGGCAGGGGGGACAGUAGGGCGAGGGUACAGGUCAGAUAUGAUUGGAACGUUGGUGUCACAGUUGUCCCCUGCAAACUGGUUUCUGGGAGCUGGGUGCAGACAGCCUGAGUUGAAAGCCAAACACAGACAGCAGCUGUUGAGGAUGUAAAGUCUCUGGCCAGAGUGGAUAGGGAGAUGGGUGUGGUCACCCAUAGACCAAUUUCCACCCCACCCUACGAGCCCAGUGACAGAGGCUGAGAAGAAAGAACUUCCCGUGUUGCAUUCCAGUGCUCCUUUCUGGGCUUAGUGGGAAUCUUCGAGAAUGCAAGAGACUGGUUGCCAGGCCUGAUUACCCUGCACACACUCCCUCAACUGGGUUCCCCUGACAGUCACCGAGACUCCGGAGAACACCACGACCAGCCACACUGGCCCUGGAUGGCUGCACUGCGCUGGCCAUAGCCCCAGUCUCUGCACCUCAUCUACAUACCGGCACUCAGGAGAUGGAAGCAGAGGAGCAGCACUAGACUGACCUGCCCGAAGAAAUGUUCGACUGCACAAGCAUAGCCUUGGGGGGAACUCAGAAGUUUUCACCACCUGGAGCUUUCCCAUGGACAGAGGAGCCUAGCAAGCUACAGCCCAUGGGGUUGAAGAGUCACGACUGAGUGACUACACAACAGCUUUCAUGAAGGCUUCAUGUGUGGCUCUCCCAGGAGCUCUGACAGCCUACAGGAAAAGCCACCCACCCCCAUCUCGGAGGCCAACCCUUCUGCGUGGUGGCUAGCAGUGACAAAACCAAGAUGAAUCACCAUAUGUCAGGAUCCAUAAAUUGUGAAAAGUCUAAGCAGCAGGUCUGGGAUGAGAGAUCAAGGCCAAAGGUAAAUAUUUCUGACAUAGGCUUUUGUUUUCCGAUGGUGGCAGCUUGGAUUUCCUUCCUGUUGGUGAGAAAAGGAUGGAGGGGUUAGGCGGGGCUGAUCCAGCUGCAGAAGGAAAGGCUGCUAGAGCGGGAGGGGACUGCACUUCUCACUCCCAGGGAGACUUCCCACAGCUCCCCCGCUUCUCCUUGCUGAGGCUGGAGGUAGGGGGCACCCAGGGAGAAGUCUCUACCUCCUUCUCUUAGGGAAGUUCACCCUGGUUGUGCUGACCUUACUGGCCUAAGGGCCUUGCUUCUGGGUCAGAGGACACCAGCCUCAGUGCUGAAAUGUGUCUCCUGGACUUAUUUCUAAUCCUCUGGCAGGUCAGUGUUGACUCACGCUCUCCCUCCACAUGGGAUUAGAGGAAGGGGGCUUAGGGUCAUUUUUGGCUACUGAGCAUCUGAACCCCCUUCCCAUGUUUGGGAUGCUAUCACUUCAUGAAUUUCAGCGCCCUAAAAAAGACUGUUCUAGUCUUCUAGAAGUCUCUAGAAAAGUCUAGUCCACUUUGCAGCUAGGACGUGGACAUACAACCAAGACUUGGCCAAUCAGGUGCUCUUGCUCCGGAAGGAAUCAGAAGUUAUUAGCAUCAACAAAGUGGGACAUUGGAGAAUCCUUUCUGGGGGAGGCUGCAGGGUGACAAAAAUAUCCAGGCUCCCACUGCCCAUGGUGGUAUCAAGUGUUGAGGGCUGAAGACAGUGAUGGUGGAAGCCGUGGCACAGCACUCAGCAGUGGCAGCAGAGGUACCCUCAUCUCACUCUUGCUAGGCUGUGAUUGUACCUGUGGCCUCAGAUAUGAUCCUGAGUUCUCAGUUCUUAUGUUUUCUGAUCCUGUUUUUCAGCCUUCUCAGGGAUUAUUCGAUAGCUUUUUGAGAAAUUCCUUUUCUUUAAUCUGUCAGAGUUAGUUUCUGUUGCUUGCAGCUGAAAACCCUGAUUCUGCCCAGCUACAACUGGUUUCAGUCAAUCAUUUGCAGAUGCUCCUUUUUUUUUUUUCUUUCCUGCUUGCAUUCUUCAAGCCUCUGUCCUCCUGGCAAUUCCACAAGUAAUCCAGAAAAGGAGGAACGAGCAUGCAGAGAAUUUGACCACAGCUGGGAAGUGAGCCAAGAGAACUCUGAAGAACUUGAGUAUUAGCUCCUUCACUUUGUUAGGUGGGGUGGAUGUGGGGCUGUGGGAUGUUCCUCUUAUGUUGUUCUUCUCAUCUCUAAUUUGGUUAUACAGUGAUUCCCUAUGGCACUUACAGAGUCCAUGAGGGCAUGGACUGAGUCGCCUUGUUUUCCCCAGUAUCCAGGCCAUACAGGAUGCUCAGUAAAUAGUAGUAAAUCGUGACAGAGAAAGUUUGAGAAAGAAUUCAGGGGAAAGAAGGUACAUACAUCCUUAGUGUCUCUGUAAAAAAAGAACUGUCUCAACUCUGUGGGCUCGUGAGUCGAGCCAACACUGCAGGAAUUUGGUGGUGUUGAUUGAAGAGCAGGAACCUGGAGCUUUAGCCAUCAGACUGUCAAAGAUGGAGACACACUCCCAGGCAGGCAGAGCCUAACCUGGGUCUAGUCCAGGGAGAAUGUCAGUCCAUUCUUUCUUGGAAGGGAACCCCAACAGUGCCUGCAAGUUCAACUGAGAUGGCUUUCCAGAAAGCAUUUUGAAUCAAUUUCAAAUGCAUUGACAGUACUUGGUUGAAACCCCAUACAGAGGUUGAGGGUGGGUGGAGUUAGUUUGAAUCUCGAAGACCAAGAGCAGGUUACCUUAACCAUAAAAGAGCCUCAGUGCAUCUAUUGUAUGGGCUUCCCAGGUGGUACAGUUUAGGUGAAGAAUCUACCUGCUGAUGCAGGAGACUCAGGUUACAUCCCUGGGUUGGAAAGGAUCCCUGGAGAAGGAAUGGCAACCCACUCCAGUAUUCUUGCCUGGAAAAUUCCAUAGGGUUGUAAAGAGUUGGACACAAGUGAGCAUACACACACGCACACACGCAUCUUGUUUUGAGUAACAUUUAUUCAGAUUUGAGUCCACAAGGAAGUGUUUGCUACAAACUGACUCUGGUUCUAAUUUUUGUUUGUGGGAUUAACCAAGGAAACAUUUACCUUAGGCAGCUCUCUUAACUAACCUAAGUUUUCAUUUCUUGAUUUUAAAAUCUCUAGUUGUAGAGAGUUGGGGCUACCUUGCUCACUAAUUUCCUAGCGAAAAUUCGAUGUUUCUGUUAAGAAUCAUGUGUUGUUUUCCAAAUACCCUUGCAUCCAAGUACAAAGCUGGACCCAGGAGGCACAGACAGCCCAUGGUGUGGCCAUGUUCUGAAAAGACUAGGCUGCUGCUGCUGCUGCUAAGUCGCUUCAGUCGUGUCCGACUCUGUGCGACCCCAAAGACGGCAGCUCACCAGGCUCCCCCAUCCCUGGGAUUCUCCAGGCAAGAACACUGGAGUGGGUUGCCAUUUCCUUCUCCAAUGCAUGAAAGUAAAAAGUGAAAGUGAAGUCGCUCAGUCGUGUCCUACUCGUAGCGACCCCAUGGACUGCAGCCUACCAGGCUCCUCCAUCCAUGGGAUUUUCCAGGCAAGAGUACUGGAGUAGGGUGCCAUCACCUUCUCCGAAGACUAGGCUAGACCCUUCUAAGACCCUUCUCAAGCCAGGACCUAAGGCUAGCAGUGAGAACGUUAGAAGGGGGAAAACACUGUAACUAGGAUCUGUAACCAGUUACAGGUCCUUCUGAACUGUUUGUGGUGCUUAGUUCGGCUAGUGAAGCUGAAUUUCCAAGAUAUCUACUUCUAGCCUAUGCUUGUCCCUUGGACUGCAAGGAGAUCCAACCAGACCAUCCUACAGGAAAUCAGUCCUGAAUAUUCACUGGAAGGACUGAUGCUGAAGCUGAAACGCCAAUAUUUUGGCCACCUGAUGCAAAGAACUGACUCAUUUGAAAAGACCCUGAUGCUGGGAAAGAUUGAGGGUGGGAGGAGAAGGGGACAACAGAGGAUGAGGUGGUUGGAUGGCAUCACCAACUCGAUGGACUUGAGUUUGAGUAGGCUCCAGGAGUUGGUGAUAGACAGAGAGACCUGGUAUGCUGCAGUCCGUGGGGUCGCAAAGAGUUGAACACGACUGAGAGAUUGAACUAAGCCUAUGCUUAUCUUUAAAUUCACAUCGAACAGUAGAAGAUCAUUAAAGCUGCUCAUACAUCCAAUACUGUCUGGGGUUAGUGAAGGAGAGAAUUGUGAAACAUCAUGUGUGUGUGUUAGUCGCUCAGUUGUGUCUGACUCUUUGCGACCCCAUGGACUGUAGCCUGCCAGGCUCCUCCAUCCAUGGGCUUUUCCAGGCAAGAAUACUGGAGUGGAUUGCCAUUUCCUUCUCCAGGGAUCUUCCAGACCCAGGGAUUGAACCCAGGUCUCCUGCAUUGCCGUCUGACUCGUCUUACACAUGCACGUAUAUUUCAAACCUGUGCUGUGCAUCUUGGUUUCAGCCCGUGAAAUUCUGUGGUGACUGUUUUUGCUCCGAGAAGGUGCUGCGCCUCUUUCCGUCCUGGGCUUAGAAUGAUAAGCAGAUUAGAAGGUCAUGAGUGACAGCGGCCAGGAUGGUCCUCUUCCUCCGCUUCCUCUCUUGGGAGAGGCCGGAGGACUCUGGAGAAAACAGAGAUGGGAAGGAAAACAAGUCAAUCCCAGCGUGGGGAGCAGGGAGGGGAGAGAAUGGUGACAGACUGUGGGAGCUGCCAGCAAACAUCUGAUUCCCUGCAUUGCUCGGAGGAGAGGAGGCAAGUCUUCCCAAAUCCGGGCGCCCCAACACGAUUGCGAAAGCCACGCCCAUCGGCCCACAGACGGCCAACACUGCUGCAGAACCAGUGAGACACCUUGGGAAACCGCCCGAGUUUCUGGAGACAUCUCUGUAAAAGCUGCCUUUCGCCCUGGUGGAUGCUGGAAUCCCAGCACUGGGUGACCCAGAGCCGCCUUUUGUUCACGGCAAAGUUAAUUUCAGAAAUGUCGUUCUCGGAUGGAUGCGGUCCUGGGGCGAAGAGUCAAUGCCUUCUCCCACCGGCGGCCGCGGGGCUGGCUGAGCACGAGCGCAGAGGCACUCCUCGAGCUUUGAAGUCAACAGAGGUAGGCAGGGCAGGCCACGGUGGAAAACUGUGAAGUCAGCAGAGUUAUCGCGGGCACUCCUCCCUUCCCCCUUGCUUCCCCUUUCUCCACCCAUUUCCCCCCUCUCAGCUUGCAGCUUCUCAUUUCCCAGGGGAUCGUGCAACAGAAGAAAAGCCGUCCAGAGAUACGAGGGGCCAGCCCACGGCUCCAGCUAUCGAAGUAUGCUCCCCCCCCCAGCCCCCACCAAGUCUAAAACAAACACAGGAACGCAUUCCAUACAUUUCCAAAGACUAGAGAGCGCACACAGAAAUCCUGGCCUUUGUGCCUUCUCCCUUAAACCCCACGAGUUUGGGGCCUCAAGUUUGAAGCCGGCUUCCUGCCUCCCCUGGGUUUUUUGAAAGAUUCAAAAGUGCCUCAGACCAAGACAGCUGCUUGGUUGAUGGCUCACAUUGAAACCACAAAUUAUAAAAUGAUAAAUCGCUGCUCAAAGCUCUUCCAGGAAAGACUAUGUUGUCAAGAUUAAGUUACAACCUCAUGGACCUAUGAGUGAGUCGAGCUGCUGACUAACUCUCACACUUCUUUUCCUGCCCAAGAUGUUUUUGCUUCGUGAACUUUCACUGUUUCUGAAUACUUGAAACAAAUGACUGAAGGCAGAAAAAACAUCAGGGGACUUCUUAACCCAUGGAGCUUUUUACAGGCUUUAUUAUGUAACGGCUGCUUUCGUUUUGUGAGACCCAAAGGAAGUUGAAGAAAUCUCUUUCUUCUUGAGCACUUAACUGCCAGCGAUCUGUGAGAAAUGGCUUCGUGUGGGCAGCUCCACUCACUUGAAACUCUAGUUGGAACGUGUAGUGUGUGCUAAAUCAAAGCUGGUUUUAAGGAAUUUGGGUCUUAAAGUAUCUGUUCAGUGAUUUGGGCAGGAUUGCAACAUGAAUUACUGUAUUUGGUUCCCAUGAAAUAAAUUCUUUGGACUACUCUUAAAGGGUCUGGUCUAGUGAUCGAGUGUGACAAAUAAUUAGGCCACAUGCAUUCUCUCAUGUAAUGAUGCUUCUCUCUGCCAGGGUUUUGGCAGGCAGAAGGAGGUAAGAUGAAAUGCUUGUUUGACACCUAUAUAUUGCCUUGCUGAGGGGUCUGGCACACUGACCUCAUUGAGAUCACCUGGGGCUGGAGGAAGACCAUCAUCUAUCCAUUAUGUGUCUCCAGCACAGGGCCUUGGUUACACAACUGUGAUCCGGUUUCUCCAAGGCCACUCAAGUCUUGAGGACCAUCAGACU
ensembl:lncRNA